GAUGAACGCUGGCGGCGUGCCUAACACAUGCAAGUCGAGCGAAGCAUACAGGAGGAAGUUUUUGGAUGGAAUCCUGCAUGACUGAGCGGCGGACGGGUGAGUAACGCGUGGGUAACCUGCCUUAUACAGGGGGAUAACAGUUAGAAAUGACUGCUAAUACCGCAUAAGCGCACAGUACCGCAUGGUAGUGUGUGAAAAACUCCGGUGGUAUAAGAUGGACCCGCGUCUGAUUAGCCAGUUGGCGGGGUAACGGCCCACCAAAGCGACGAUCAGUAGCCGACCUGAGAGGGUGACCGGCCACAUUGGGACUGAGACACGGCCCAA
rnacentral:rRNA from 1 species